rnacentral:lncRNA from 1 species
UCAGUCAAUUCCAUUUGUAUGGCUGAAAUGGGAUUUACAGAUGCCUGAACUAUUGCCAUCAACACAGAUGUGAUGGACAUGUGCUCAGGAGAGAACUCUAGGAGCCUGACACAUGGAUCCGUGUCACUGAAGUGACUGAACAAGAUAUUGGAAUUCUUUGGUGGGAAUCAUUUGGCAGUGCUUUGAAUAGCAAUUUGGAUG